rnacentral:rRNA from 1 species
GCUAGCUACGGGCGAGGAGGCGCGGGAAUACGUAGGCAGCAAGCGUUGUUCGGAAUUACUGGUCGGAAAGGGUGUGGAGGCGGUUCUCUAAGUUCGGUGGGAAAUCUCCCGGCUUAACUGGGAGGGUGCGCCGGAAACUGGAGGGCUUGAGUAUGGGAGAGGAAGGCGGAAUUCCUGGUGUAGCGGUGAAAUGCGUAGAUAUCAGGAGGAACACCUGCGGUGUAGACAGCUUUCUGGACCAUCACUGACGCUGAGACACGAAAGCGUGGGUAGCAAACAGGAUUAGAUACCCCAGUAGUC